UAUUUCGCGGGUAGCGGGUCAAAAUAGGGAGCGYUGUGAUAAAUUAGUCGUUAGCUAUUAUAUCUGUUURUGGGUAGGUGUUUUCGUAUUUGUGCUGAAGUGAAGAGAUUUCAACACUUUCUAUAUUUAGGGUUUAUACCGCAUAAACUGGGGUUACAGUUACCCGUGUUUAGUUAGUGUGUUGUAACUAAAUUGGAUAUUUUGCGUAAUUAGUAUGUUACACCCAGKUUGCUUUAAAUUCAUGYUGUUYUUAAUGAAUUAAUUAGUAAUUAUAUAACAYUUAUUUUAUCUCGGCCCYAGCCCGACUGUUUAUUAAAAACAUUUCCACUUGGAAAAUUAUUGGUGGUAGGGCCUGCCCGGUGUGGUUUAACGGCCGCAGUAUUUUGACUGUGCGAAGGUAGCAUAAUUAAUUGCCCCAUAAUUGGGGGCUUGUUUGAAUGGUUUAACGYGGYUAGAUGGCUAAAUUAGGUGUGUGGUUGAAGUUAAUUUAGUGAGUUCYGAAUCUACUAAUUUUGGCUGGACGGAAAGACCCCGGGAUCUUUUAUUUUUGUCUGGGGCAGAUURUAUUAUUUUAAUAUAUUUGAGACCCUAAGUUUAUAGGUUUAAGUUACCCCGGGGAUAACAGGGUAAUAAUUUAUUAGAGGUCUGAUCGAGUAAAUUGGUUGCCACCUCGAUGUUGACUUGGGCGNGUUAGASGGCGCAGCUGCUUUUUAAUAGGGUCUGUUCGACCCAAUAAGCCCUCA
rnacentral:rRNA from 1 species